rnacentral:rRNA from 1 species
UACGUAGGAGGCGAGCGUUGUCCGGAUUUACUGGGCGUAAAGGGCGCGCAGGCGGCAUGGCAAGUAAGAUGUGAAAUCUCCCUGCUCAACGGGGAGGGAGCAUUUUAGACUGCCAAGCUAGAGGACGGUAGAGGGGGGGUAGAAUUGCUGGUGUAGCGGUGAAAUGCGCAGAUAUCAGGAAGAACACCCGUGGCUAAGGCGGCUCUCUAGUACGGUACUGACGCUGAGACGCGAAAGCGUGGGGAGCGAACAGG